GACGAACGCUGGCGGCGUGCUUAACACAUGCAAGUCGAACGGAAAGGCCCUGCUUGCAGGGUGCUCGAGUGGCGAACGGGUGAGUAACACGUGGGUGAUCUGCCCCUUACUUUUGGAUAAGCCUGGGAAACUGGGUCUAAUACUGGAUAGGACCAUGCUGUAGGUGGUGUGGUGGAAAGAUUAGUUUCGGUAAGGGAUGAGCUCGCGGCCUAUCAGCUUGUUGGCGGGGUAAUGGCCUACCAAGGCGUCGACGGGUAGCCGGCCGGAGAGGGUGGACGGCCACAUUGGGACUGAGAUACGGCCCAGACGCCUACGGGAGGCAGCAGUGGGGAAAAUUGCGAAAUAGGCGCAAGCCUGAUGCAGCGAAGCCGCGUGGGGGAUGACGGCCUUCGGGUUGGAAACUCCUUUCAGCCAUGACGAAGCCCUUGUGGUGACGGUAGUGGUAGAAGAAGCACCGGCUAACUACGUG
rnacentral:rRNA from 1 species